UAUUAUAUUUUGAAUUAACUAUGAUAUUAAAUAAAAAAGAUAAACAAAGAUGUAGAAAAAAAAUGAUAAAAAAAGUAAGAAAUACCUUACAAAUAAUAUCAGAGCUAAUGUUUGUCUAUACUUGCAGUUCUGUAGUAUAUUUGGUUUUCUAAUUUUUAGUACAUAUUAUUUUUAAUUAUCUUUAAUUAUUUUUAGUAUCGUUGAAGACCUUCUCACUGAGUUGGUUUGCUAUAUGGGCAUCUACUAAAACCCCACAGACACUUCUGCAAUUGUUAGCUAAGGCGAAAGGGUUAUCUCCCCCUUAAAAAUUCCAGCUUAUUAAUGCCAAAAGAGCAGUUGUCGACUUUUACUACCUCCUUAAAUUCUUAUAGGCUCAAUGCAUACACUGGUAUGUUGAAGCUUUACAUUGGUAUAAAAAAAAAUGAAUAAUAAUAAUAAUAAUAAAACUAAAAAAUACUUUACAAAUGGUAAAAGGGAAAUAGAGAUAUAGAAGAAAAAAUGAUAAAAGAAGUAAGAAAUACCUUACAAAUAGUAUCAGAGCUAAUGUUUGUCUAUACUUGCAGUUCUGUAGUAUCUUUAAUUUUCUAAUUUUUAAUACAUAUUAUUUUUAAUUAUCUUUAUUUAUUUUUAGUAUCGUUGAAGACCUUCUCACUGAGUUGGUUUGCUAAAUGGGCAUCUCCUAAGACCCCAUAGACACUUCUACAAAUGUUGGCUAAGGCCCUGCCUACCUUUGCCUCAUCAUCUGGCCAGGUAAUAACGAAAGGGUUAUCUCCCUUGAAAACUUUCAGCUUUUUAAUGGCGAAAGAGUAAUCGUCGACUUUUACUACCUCCUUAAAGUCUUGUAAGCUCGGUGCAUACAGUGGUAUGUUGAAGCUUUACAAUUAGUGUCAAAACAAUAAAGAAGAAUAAUAAGAAAAAUAGAAAUUAUUUUACAAUUGGUAUCAAAGCCAAAAAAAAGAUCUAUUAUUUUUUUAAUCAUUUUAUUUUAUUUUGAAUUAACUACGAUAUUAAAUAAAAAAGAUAAACAGGGAUAUAGAAAAAAAAGUGAUAAAAAGAAAAUACCUUACAAAUAGUAUUAGAGCUAAUGUUUGUCCAUUCUUGCAAUUAUGUAGGAUCUUUACACUAAGGUAGGAAAGUGCAUACAACUCAAAACCUGGGACCGUAGUUGAUCAAACUCCACAUUUAGACCUUCCAGAAAGUCAUAGACCCGGAUCUUUUCCUCUCACUUCUAAAAACGGACAUCUGCAGGGGUGUGAGGAGUAUACUCCUCAUAGAAGUCCAACUCAGUCCCUAGUGUGCACAACUCAUAUUAGUAUUGUGAUAGUGUGAGCACUCUCUACCUCAAGUCAAGAACCUUCUGGCGCAAUUCAAAGACCUGAGCAUCAUUCCCCGCUCGGGAAUAGAUAUCCUGGACAACAACAGAGUAAAAAAAGGAGAUAGCCAUGUGAAAGCUAUAGCUGCAUGGAGUUGACAAGGAAGGUAAUAACCAGAGAGUUGACACAUUCCACUUGUCAAUCUCAGGACUGAUGGUCGGAUGCUUUGAGGUUCUAGUGAGGUACCUGUAAUAGCGAUGGGACUUGAUUGAGUUGUAGAUCGAGCAUGUCCACGUAAGGUAGUUUGUGCCAUCAAUCUUAAUAGCACAAGGAGAAUUUAUUCAAUAUAACCGGAAAGCACCUUCAAGACCCAAUUGAUAUUUUUGUUAUUAUUAUUAAAGAGACUUAUGAUACUCACUUUCGUACCAUUGCAGCCACUAAGCUCUAUUCUUGGGUAGCUAUGUUUGGAAAAAAAAAACACUAAUAGUUCCUUCUUAUGCCUUCAAAAGUCAAUAAACCAUAUUAAAAGGGACGGAAGUGGCUGCAUCAUAAGUAUCACAACAUGUUAGGUGUUAGGUGCCUCCUAGAUUGGGUGAGUAUGUCGCAUCAAUGGUAGCAUUGGAAGCUAUGACAAAGUAUUUGGCCAUAAAGUUGAAAGUGGCAGUAAUAAACCAAACUAUGUCGCCCUAGGCUCUUUUCACUCUUGUAUGCUGCAUCAUAAGCAUCACAACAUGCUCGAUGCGUCCUAGGUUGGCCAUAAGUUGUCUUCCGCCAUCUCUUUAUAUGAAGGUAGCACUAUCGGGGAAAAAAUAGUCUGAUAUCUUCAUUCCUUAUGUUGUAGGAUGGUUAUCCACACUAAUUUUUCAUACAUAUAUACAACUUUGUGGCCUGUAAAACUAAUCCCAAAUACAAUCAGUACCUUUCAACCAUUUUCUUCCCAAUGCAGCUACGCGUCUGGUUAGCACGUCCUGUUAGGAAGGGCUAUGAAGAUAAGUGGACGGAUUUGGUAGCACAGACCUAGGGACUACGUUACUGGCGUGAUCUAUAUCCCUCUUUGGAGAGGUAGCUCAUCGGGCAAGUCUUUAGGCUCUAGGUCUUCAAAAUCAGAGAAAAUUUUCUUUAUAGGUUUUAGAAAAUUAUUAUCUUUUAUAGCAAAAAACAAUUUAGUCACUAUUACAGAGGUAAGUCCCGUUUCUUCACAGUAAAGUCCUCAAAAUAAUGAUAUGGUAGGGUUGGAAUGACAACUAGCAGUAGACAAGUUGCAGAGAAGAGGUGGAGACCACAACCAACAUAAGUAGAAAAAUUGAUUAUUCAGGGAGAAAAUAAAUAUUCAGGGUUUUGGGGAGCAUUACCAAAUAAGUGACCAGCCUUGUAGGUGCAAAGAACUGAGCGAUCUAAGCAAGAGAAGUGGCAAUCAAUGUUGUGGAAGCAACCAUAGUUGAACCAGCAGUAGAUAUCGCCAUGUAGAAGAUCCCCAAAAUCAGGGAGAAAACCUUGACAGAAAUUGAUUUCUCCAGUAUGGGGAAACUUGAUCAGACUUGUAGAUAAACAAAUCUGAGAGAUCUAAGCAAGAGAAGUAGUAAUCAAUGUUGGGAAGCCAUCAUAGUUGAAGAACCAAAAGUAGAGAUCACCAAAAUCAAUCUCAGGGAGAAAACCCUGACAAUUAAAUCGAUUUUCCCCAAAUUGAUUUCUCCCAUUUGGGGAAAAUCGAUCAGGUAGGGUAUGAGCUUCAAUAACCCAUCAAGUACGUAGCAAAAGAGCACUCCAAUGAAAAAAAGGAGGCUUAACCCAUAGUAGAAGUAGCAAUAGGUGGCUGCACACAACAACAGUGCAGAACAAGAGUCAAGAUCAGCAGAGAAAGAAAGAAAAACCCUUGAUUUGAUUACUGAGGCUCUGAGAUCAUGUUGCAAACCAGAAUCUAAGUAAUCAAACCAAGAGAAAACAGAGAGAGAGAGAGAGAGAAGAAGGAGAAGAAGGGAGGCUACUGAAUUGUGUGUGGGAGGCACCCUGCAAUAGUGAGUUGUGUCCUAUCGCAGGCCACACACACACACACACACACACAUAUAUAUAUAAGUCCAAAUGGGGUGGUAAGUUAGGGGACCAAAGUACCCCUAAUCCACUUAUUAUAAUAACUAAAGAAGUACUAAGCCGUAUAGGACAGAAUUGCCCCGAGAGCUUUAACAGGUUUUAUGUAUUAUUUUUUAAAUGACAAUAGUGGGGAUGUGCACUCUCAUAGACCUUGGAAAGUUGGCAGUAUCUAACGACUUUGUGCCCCAUUUCGAUACUGCAGGUUGUCGACCAUUGUGGAAACUCGGUUGAAGUUGUAGAUGCUGCUUUUGCUCAUGGCCAUGUCAUUGUUCUAGUGACUAAACGUGUCCCGUUGGUAAUGGAUAUUGUUCUUGCAAAGUUCAUAGAGCUAGCAUCUACACUGUUCCAAAUCAUAGACAUUUCUUCGAGUCGGCAUUCAAUAGUAAAGAAGGUGGGAAGAUUGAAAGUACCAGGCAAUUUUUGGACCGCAUUAAAUGUUAUGACACUUUAUGGUGCACUGGUUCAGGUUGACUGAAGUUGAUGGUGUCCAAAACAUGCUUAAGGAGAAAUGGGCACGGCUUGCAAGGUUCUUGACGAGAACAAUAUUAUCAUCACACGAAUUGAUAAAAGGAGAUUGAUGUACCUCCACACGUGAAGUUAUACAAAUUGUAUCUUACAUCUACGGUUCUAAAAUCUCCAUAUUCCAUAGCAUAUUUUUUGGCAACAGAUGAAGCAAGGAUUUUCUUCAUCUCAGACUGUUGUUCUUUAAAAUAUAAUGAAGGACCUGCAGAGGGAUAAUCAAUGUGAGUGGCAGUGACCUGACAUGCACCCCCCAGCCAUUGGAUGGUCACUGCACGCUUGCUGCCUCCCCGCAAAGGAUCAGGGCACCAUUACAUCACCAUUUGAUUUGUGCAGUUGAAUAUGAUUGUGCGACCAUGGUAGAUAAGUGACUCUCAUUCUGCGAGUAUGACCCCAACAGGAAACGGCAACAAUAGUUGAGUAUGAUCAUUCCAUUCUUGGGCAUGUUUCUAUUGUAGAAAGUUCCUGAUUUGCUAAUGAGUUAGUAUGAAGUUGAGCUUCAUAAAUGAGAUGAAAUGAGAUGGGAGAAGGGUACAUGAGGGUAACUAGCUGUUAGCAAAUUGUUUAUUAGAGUAACAAACUCUCAAAUUUC